UUAUUCGCUGAUGGUACUGCGAGUUCGCGGGAGAGUAAGUUAUUGCCAGGGUUUUUAUUUUAUACUUUAAACCUUGAAUUUAUUUUUUAAAUGUUUAUAUUAUUUGAAUAAAACAUUUAAAAAAUAUAAAAAAUAAUAUAUAUAUUGACAUGGAUUAAACAAAGAUAUAUAUUAUUCUAUGUUGUAUAAACAAAUUGGCAAAAUAGAGAUGGAAGAUAAAAAUAUGGUCAAAGUAAUAAGAGUCUAUGGUG
rnacentral:misc_RNA from 1 species